ACGAAGGGGGCUAGCGUUGCUCGGAAUUACUGGGCGUAAAGGGCGCGUAGGCGGACAGUUUAGUCAGAGGUGAAAGCCCAGGGCUCAACCUUGGAAUUGCCUUUGAUACUGGCUAUCUUGAGUAUGGAAGAGGUAUGUGGAACUCCGAGUGUAGAGGUGAAAUUCGUAGAUAUUCGGAAGAACACCAGUGGCGAAGGCGACAUACUGGUCCAUUACUGACGCUGAGGCUCGAAAGCGUGGGGAGCAAACAGG
rnacentral:rRNA from 1 species